rnacentral:misc_RNA from 1 species
AAGUCGUAACAAGGUUUCCGUAGGUGAACCUGCGGAAGGAUCAUUACAUUCAGUAGCCUCGCUACUUGUUUAUACCCUUGUUUUUUGCGUACUAUUGUUUCCUCGGCGGGCUUGCCUGCCGGUUGGACGAAACUAUAACCUUUUUAAAUCUUCAAUCAGCGUCUGAAUUAUACAUAAUAAUUACAACUUUCAACAACGGAUCUCUUGGUUCUG